GGCUUUGUCCGGGAGUCAAGCGGCCUCCGGAGCCGUGUGCGCAGGUUCGAAUCCUGCCGGGGGCACCU
rnacentral:tRNA from 1 species